rnacentral:rRNA from 1 species
UAGGGAAUCUUCCACAAUGGACGCAAGUCUGAUGGAGCAACGCCGCGUGAGUGAAGAAGGCUUUCGGGUCGUAAAACUCUGUUAUUGAAGAAGAACGUGUGUGACAGUAACUGGUCAUGCAGUGACGGUAUUCAAUCAGAAAGUCACGGCUAACUACGUGCCAGCAGCCGCGGUAAUACGUAGGUGGCAAGCGUUGUCCGGAUUUAUUGGGCGUAAAGCGAGUGCAGGCGGUCUUUUAAGUNUGAUGUGAAAGCCUUCGGCUUAACCGAAGAAGGGCAUCGGAAACUGGGAGACUUGAGUGCAGAAGAGGAGAGUGGAACUCCAUGUGUAGCGGUGAAAUGCGUAGAUAUAUGGAAGAACACCAGUGGCGAAGGCGGCUCUCUGGUCUGUAACUGACGCUGAGGCUCGAAAGCGUGGGUAGCAAAACAGGAUUAGAUACC